ACAGGCUCCAGGCUCUGAGCCAUCAGCCCAGAGCCUGACGCGGGGCUCGAACUCACGGACCGCGAGAUCGUGACCUGGCUGAAGUCGGACGCUUAACCGACUGCGCCACCCAGGCGCCCCGAAGGUAUGCCUUUUAAAGGCAGUUAGGGAGUUAUAUACAGUUUUUAAAGGAGAAGAGACAUGCUCAGAUUUGCAUUUUAUAAAGAUCACUAGCUACAGAAAAGAGCUGAUGCUGUUGAGGGAGUCUUAGGAGAGAUGAUGGUGUUUGGACUAAAGUACUGACCUGCAGUCGAGAGGAGACUGUUAUGAGGAAUCGUGGAGACUCAACAGAACUUGGUAACCGUGGGAAGUGAGGGACAUAGAAACAUUAGGGAUGAUGUCUGGGUUUCUGCCCUAGGCAGCCACUGUGGCAGGAGCAGGAGGAAGGGCAAGGUUUGGGAAAGAGAAGAUAGAGGUUACCUCUUAGAGAUGUUAAAUUUGACAAACCUAUGAUCCAUGAGAAAAGUAAUGGGUGGGCACAUAGAUGAUAGAUAGAUAGAUAGAUAGAUAGAUAGAUAGAUAGAUAGAGGCACCUGGGUGGCUCCGUUGGUUGAGCUCAGGUCAUGAUCUUGUUGGAGCCCCACUUUGGGCUUGCUGAUGUCAGCCUGUAAGUGCAGAACCUGCUUUGGAUCCUCUGUCCCCUCUCUCUGCCCCUCCCCCGCUUGCACUCUUCCAAUAAAUAAGUAUUUUUUAAAAGAUAGAUAGUCUGGAGUUCAGGGGUUUGGUUUUGCUAUAGAGCAGGGAGUUAUUCACAGGAGUGAAUAAAAUCAUCUAGGAGAGAAGGAAGAGCUUGAGACGAGGAUCUAAAGCAGAAUCUUGAGGGUAGAGAAGGAGUAGUGGAAGAGAAGGGAGGAAAAAGCAGGGGAGUGUAAAGUUAUCAAAGCCCUGAGAAGGGAACGUUUCAAGGAGCAGUCAGUAUCAGUUGCUGCCAAGAGGUCCGGCAACAUCAGGACUUAGCAAGAUUCCACUAAAUUGUGUUGCUAUGGAGACUAUUGUUGACUUUGGUGAGUGCAGGUUCAGAGGAACACAAGGGGCAGCAGGAGUUCAAGCCCUCUUGGUCUGUUGUGUAGCCAGCCUGGUUUGAGGAUUUCUGAAUUGGUCUUCUAAUUCCAGUCUCAAUAGUUCCACUAGUGAUCUGAUAUGGUACCGUGCAGAGAAAUGGAGAGUACAAAAAAUUCCACCUGUAAAAGCUGAGUAUUUGCAUCCUCCUACUGUUAACUUAAAACUUAAAACUUUUACACAUGUGUAAAAUCUUUUUAAGACCAAAAAAAAUCUUUUAGGACCUCUUACAAUACUAAGAUAUAAUUAUACUAUUAUGCCAAAAACCAAAUUCUUUAGAUAAAGCUAUAAAUAUUGAAGACUAAUUUUUGACUUAGCAGUAAUUGUGACUCGGAUAAACCCCAUUAGCUGCGAUACUGCUACAGCACAAAGCUGAAACUAAUUUUUGAAAGUAAAUGAAGAUAUAAGAGAAAUUAAAAAAAAUAACCACAUUCAACAAUGCCAUGCUAGGGGCGCCUGGGUGGCUCAGCUGGUUGUGUGUCCAACUGCGGCUUGGAUCAUGAUCUUGCCGUUCCUAAAUUUGAGCC